rnacentral:lncRNA from 1 species
UGAAAUUAGAACGUAAUUGCGUUCCAAUACAUAUGCCUCUUGCCUUUUUCUGCAACCAAGAUUUUCAGUACACUUCCCACAUUAAAUACAUUAUUGAUUAAAAUCAAACCAUGUCCAAGACAUACUUCAGUGUUGACAGUUCAUUUUCAAGAUCACUCAAUUUCAGUAGCCAAUGUAAAUAAUCUUUAUUAACCUUAGACAACCUUUUAAAAUGUACUGCUAUCAGGCUCUGAGGAAAUUAAAUGCACAUUGACUUUUUAAGUAUGGGUUGAACUCCUCAGUUUAAUACAAUUUGUGUUUUUGUUAACUAGCAGCAGAAUUUCAGCAUUUGCUACUUACUGGUAGAGAAGAAAAACCCCACAGCCCUGCCAGUACAGGUUAGUUUAAUCUGUAAGUACCUGAUGUUCCUUUUUUUUCCCCUCCCACCCCACAAACAUAACCAUUUAAGGCACAUAAGGAAGGAAGCUGCUGUGCAGUUACUUACUGUGAGUAUAGUAACAUUGGGUGCUCUCAGACACUCAGUUCUUGGGCCAGAUGGAUUUCUAGGUUUGGGAACCUCAGCUGUAAUAAAGGUGUGAUGCAGCUCCUUGAUUAUUGGUUGUUCUUGACCUAUGUAGAUACCUCCUAUAUAAUAGAGGAAAGAAAUACUUGGAUUGGCUCAGUCCAUGGUGGUAAUAGUUUGUAUGUCUCUGUAAGCUAUAAAUUACAUCACUGGCUUGGAAGCUCACCGCACAUUGAGAACCCUGCACAGUGGUGCACAUCUUUAAUCCCAGAACUCUGCAGGCAGAGGUAGACAUAGUGUAAAUUUAAGGCCAGGCUAGGCUGUGUAAUGAUUCCCUGUCUUUAACAAAAGAAAGGUAAUUCUUGGAAGACGAGGAAGUCAUGCACAUCUUGCUUGAUAAAGCCAAUAAAAAUAAGUCAGAUACUGAUUAGCCAGCCUUCGAUUGGAUCAUUAUUAUUUUAUUUGGGAAUAAUAAGAUUUGUUUAAAUUUUUAAUGAUCUACAUCUACUGACCAGUAGUAAAAUGUAUUCUGUGAGUUUCCCCCCACAUUGCUUUUUAAUUGUAAAAUUGCCUGAGGGCUUAAGUUUUAUUGCCUUUCACAGUUUAUAAGAAUGGCGUAGAUACAGUGGAAAUGGUUUUCCUUAAAACCAUCUCUUUAAGAGCUGCCUUUCUGGUGAGUACUGCUUUAUAAUUUUUGUAUCACACUUUUUUUUAAGCUAGCUGGGAGGUGACAGUGAUUGAAAAGUGCAGUCCGAAUUGUCAAAGCUUGGACCAGAACCUUAAGGUGAUGGUUACUACCUGAUUCUCUAUGUUCCCUGUUUAGAUUCUCUUUUUUCCCCCUCAUUUCCCUAAAGGAUUGUGUGCAUAAAAACAUUGAACGCAGAUCAUUUGCUUUGGUGAGGGGAAAAAUUGUUUUGUUUUGGUUUUUUUUUUUUUUUUUAAUGUUUAAGAAAAUGUAGGGACAGGAGGCAUGGCUCACUAGUUAAGACCAUGUCAUACCCCAGGUGGUGGCAUCCACUCUGCAGGCAGAGACCAGUCAUCGCUGAGUUUCAGGACAACCAGGGCUGUAUAGAGGAGUCUCCCCCAAAGUGAAGGAAUGUGUCCUGCGUUUGUUGGAAUCAGUUGAGGUUCCCAGUGUGUGUCCUGGCUCACAACCACCGCUCCUUCAGGAUCUGACACCUUGAACUUUUGUGCUCAUAUACUUAAAACACAUGCAUACAAUUAAGAAAUACAUAUGUUUUAAAGAUCAAAGAUUACCUUUUUUGCCCCAGUGCUCAUUUCUCACUGCUAGGUUAAGGAAAUAAUAGAUUUAGUACUCUCUUCUCGAGUACUUGAACUGUAUAAAUCAUUCCAACCCUGCAUGGAAAACUUGCAUUACAAAUGCAGAUUUUUAGCAUUUGUUUACCUGGGAAGAUUAACUUACAAAAAUAUUUUACUGUCUUGUUUAGUGACGAGUUUGUAACAUAAGGAUUUUUCCCUGUAGUUUUUAAGCUAGAUUUUUAGAUAAUGCAGGCAUAUUUGUAUAUACAUUGUAUUUCUUCUAUGAUUUUUGUGAAUAAAUCUACCUUUUUCCUCCUUAGUAUAGACAAUAUUUGUUUUCUAAAAUCUGAAAUGUGUAAUCUGAGUGUGUGUGGUAAUGUAUUCUAGGUGAGCUCUCAACAAAGUUUUGAGCCUAAAUUUGUGUCUUUAGAUUAUAGUGAAAUAAAUUUCUAAGGAACUCUGUCCUUUCCUAGCAUGGAUAAACAGACAGUGACAGUUGGUAAGUAUGUAACUUUAAAUGCAUGUAGUAGUGGUAAAGUUGAGCUACCAAACUAUUCCAAGACAGUUAGAAGUGAGUCCUUCUAGGACUUUAUAUGUAUAUCUGACAUUUUCUCCAAAUCUAUGUACUCAUGAUUAAACUGAAAUGCACCUUACUUGUCUGAUUUGUUUUUUGUUGUUCAUUUUGUUUUUAGAAGAAUUUUGUAUGGUAGUUUAAAAAUCUAAUUUUAUAUUUAAAACUUUCCUUGGUGUAUCAGUACGUGGCUCUUCUGACAACCCAAUAUUGAUCCGAAGUUUACUUCAAACACUUUGGUUUCCAUUUAUAACUAAGCAAAAUAUAGUGGCAAAAGAGAGGACUACUCUAAUUUUAGUCUAUAAUAGGAAAUCAGUGCAGAAUUACGCUUUAUUUUUAUUUAUGUGUCUGUGGUGCACCCACAUGCAGUUUUCUCCUGAGGCCAGAAGAUUGUCUGAUUGUUAGAGUGGAGUAGAGCUUCAGACACUGGUAACCCACCCCUGAGCAGUACCCAUUCAUCCUUGGCCAGUUCGGGUCAGUGUUGGAAUUUGGUGGUGGGAAGAAGGCUUUCUUAUUUUUUAUGAUUGCGGCCCCCCAAUUGUGAGAAUUAUUUCAGGGGGUAGAUCGGAGGACAACUUCUUUACAGUUUGUGUUCGUAUGUGGUUUCUAGGGAGACAUCUCAACCACCCUCUGGUGUUCUGUUGGUAACAGAAGUAUGACAGGUAAAAUGAAAAGCAUUUUAAUUUUAUUUCUGAGACAUAAGUCAUUUAUUUACAGCAUUGUUUUCUGAAAAGUUAAAGAAGUGGGUAUGCAUGUCUUUAAUUUAGUCUCCAGGUUUACUCCUAACAAGUGUCAGUUGGAUUUGGAGGAAAUGAAGAGCCAAAUCCUGUGGGGAUGUGAUUGUAUGGAGGGUCUGAGUAUAGCAGCAGGAGGAAGAAUAAACUUGCAGCCUGUGUGCUAUUAAAUGGUACAGGAGCAGAGAUCGUGACGAAUGUUACUUUAUAACUAUGUCUGCUAAAGAUAAUUAUAUGCUAGCCUUUAAUUCAUUAACAUUGGAACCUUGUGAUACAUGAAUUUUGGUCGAGUUUAUUUAAAAAUAAAAAUUUCCCACACAAAUAA